CUCCUCGCCCGCUGCCCGCCCCAGUCAAGGUACCGAUUCUCUGAGUAUGCUGAAGACAGAAAAAGGAGCUCCGGGCCCCCCUACCCUCGCCCCGCACAAACACCCCGCCCACCAGGCCACCUACCGCCAACCACCGGCGUCCGGGAGCGAGCUGGCCGCCCGCGUUCUCCCCGCGGCCUCUCUUACAGCAUCUCCCAGCGGCGGAGCCUCCUCCCGGCCAGGUCGAGGGAAGACCAGACUUGUCGAAGGAGAGAGCAAGCAGGAAGGAAAAAAAAAAAAAGAAGUCCUCCGGAACAGAGGGCCCCGAAAGUUUGCGGGGGAGGGGGUGGGUGGGAGGGGAGGUGGUGCAGGCAACAGCCGACCCCUUCCCGGCACCUGGAUCGCCUGGACUCCGAGGUCUCUUUGGCCAGAAGCGGAAACGCGGUUUCUCGAAAGUAGAGGAAGAGCCGAAGAAAGCGGGACAGACGUGUAAGGAGCAAAUCCCGGCCAGAUGUGAGCGGCCGCGGAGCCUCGAACGCUCCCAGCGCAUUUUAUCCAAACAGCAGCCGCCGAGGAUUAACUGUGUGUGUGCCCGGGGGGGGAGCGCCCGCGCCGCCCUCCUCCUGGGGGUUGGGCUCCAAGGCGCUCAAGGGGCACUUGCAGCCACCCCACCCCCAUCGGUUCCCAGAUGGUGGCAGACCUGAGACAUCCAGCUGGGGUGCCAGGGGCCUUGGACAGGUUUGAGGGAAUCUGUGAACGCCCAAACAGAAUGCAAAAUUGCAUGUGUGCCUGUGUGUGUGCACACACGGGUGUUAUUGGAUGCUGACGGUCUAAUGCUUUGAUCAGAUUCUUCGAGGAGGCCGUGAUCCAAAGGUUAAGAACCUUGGCUGGGGGUGCAGACUUUCUGGGUGACAUGUGAGCCAGGGUGGGGCCAGCAGGGACGUCAGCGUUUCUCAGUCUUUAUCGGGCCUUUCAUUCCUUGAUAUGAAAAACAGACAUUUUCUCCAUCUUAUACAAAAGUUCUUUUGCAACAACAUCCUUUGCCCCCCAACUCCUUCCCUGCAUCCUG
ensembl:lncRNA